rnacentral:misc_RNA from 1 species
AGGUGUUGGUUGGAUCCCUGGGAAAAAAAAAAUUUCCCCCCCGAGUUGGUGAAAGGCCAGCAAUGCCCACACGAUGCAUCGACCAAUGCAUGUGAGCGUGUGGGCAUGUCCCGAUGAGGUCCCUUUUGAGUUUCCAACACCGAACAAACCACGUGGGGGCGUGGGAAUGGCUCUCGAUCACCCUAUUGGUACGGGCGAUCCUGGGCGACGGCUGGGCAAUGGCUGGGCGUUUGCUGGGCGUUUGCUGGGCAUUCGCUGGGCGUUCGCUGGGCGUUCUCUGGGCGAUACAUGGGCCGGUGAUUCGGCGUAUCACCAUAGGAGAAUUCCUUACCAUCGUCCAUGGCACGUCACGAGAUGGCAUUGGAAAUAUGGGGGAUGCGUUGGUUGAUGGCUUCUUGGACAAGAAAAUCCCCCCGAGCUGGUGAAAGGUCGGCAAAGACCCACACGUCUCCCUUGUAGCGCCCAAUGCAUGAGAGCGUGUGGGUAUGUCCCGAUGAGGCCCCUUCGAGAUCACAACACCACGUAGGGGCGGAGGGAUUGGCUCUCGAUCACCCUAUUGGCACGGGUGAUCGUGGGCGACGGCUGGGCGAUGGCUGGGCGCUCUCUGGGCGUUCUCUGGGCGAUACAUGGGCCGGUGAUUCGGCGUAUCACCAUGAGAUAAUUCCUUGCCAUCGUCCAUGGCGCGUCACGAGAUGGUGUUGGCUGGAUGGUUGGGCACAUGGGCAUAGCUUGGGAGAUCCCCGGGCAAUAUGUGGGCAUUGGAUGGUUGGCGGAUAUCUUGUGAAUGUUUUGAGAUCAGCACGUGGAGCGUUGCUCGGGCUGGUGCUGAGCAACCCCCAAAUAUGUGAGCUGGGUACUUUUUGUGGACGGUUGUCAAUCCUCAUGCUUGGUAGCUAUGAAAUGAAAUGUUCUCCAUGCCUCUCCCUCGUAUAACUUGCCCCGAUACUAUCAGGCGACUGUGUUUGUCUCCCAUGCAGCAUCUUAGUCCGUAUAUCGCUCAUCCUAAUUACAUUCGUUUGUAAUGCUGCGGCGCAGGUGGCCAAAGCGGGCGAUGGAAUAAGGUGUUGCAUGGGGGUACUAUAGGUCUCCCAUGCAACAUCUUAGUUCGUAUAUCGCUCAAUCCGGUUACAUUCGUUUGUAACGCUGCGGCGCUGGUGGCCAAAGCGGGCGACGGAAUAGGUUGUUGCAUGGGGGUACGCAUGGUCUUCCAUGCAGCAUCUUAGUCCGUAUAUUGCUCACCCCGGUUACAUUUGUUUGUAACGCUGCGGCGCUGGUGGCCAAAGCGAGCGAUGGAAAAAGUUGUUGCAUGGUGGAUCAUGCGUACGUCUGCUCGCAUGCACCAUCUUAGGCCUUGAUUGCUCAGUCCGGUUACAUUCGUUUGUAACGCUGCGGCGCUGGUGGCCAAAGCGGGCGAUGGAAUAAGGUGUUGCAUGUGGGAAGGUCGUGGGCUGUUACUUUGAUGCUGGGGGUUCACCAUGCCUCUCUCCUGGAUAACCUUCCCGUUCCAUUCCACGCGGCCAUUUGACUUGUUUAAGGCGCUUCAUGUGCGAAAAAAACAUGGUCAUCUAAACGAGUGGUUUAGGAUAGGGGGUGUGAUGGGGGAGGAGUGUGUUGCUGCCCACCAUGCAUCAGCUUGGCCCGAUACUAUCAGGCGACCGUGUUAGUCUCCUAUGCAGCAUCUUAGUCCGUAUAUCGCUCAAUCCGGUUACAUUCGUUUGUAACGCUGCGGCGCUGGUGGCCAAAGCGGGCGGUGGAAUAGGUUGUUGCAUGGGGGUGCGCAUGGUCUCCCAUGCAACAUCUUAGUCCGUAUAUUGCUCAUCCUGGUUACAUUCGUUUGUAACGCUGUGGUGCUGGUGGCCAAAGCGGGCGAUGAUGGAAUAAGGUGUUGCAUGGGGGAUCAUGCGUACGUCUGCUCCCAUGCACCAUUUUAGGCCUUGAUUGCUCAAAUCGGUUACAUUUGUUUGUAACGCUGCGGCGCUGGUGGCCAAAGCGGGCGAUGGAAUAAGGUGUUGCAUGGGGGAAAUCAUGGGCUGUUACUUUGAUGCGGGGGGAACAUUCAGGAUAUUGCUACUAGAUUGCGUGUUGGGAAGACUACCGUGCCCAAUAACCCAGUUUGCACCCUUCCGACUCCACGUAGUGCAAGCACAAAAUGUCCACGAGAUGCCUGAUACUGUUCCGAAGCUUUUCAUGUUGGUUUGAAACUUUUGCCCCGAUAGUGUGUCCUGACCGUUGCAGCAAGAUUUUGCGCACAGCGAGCGUUUCGAAUGGCGCCUCGUUCUACCAUAUGUAUUGCCCUUUGCGGGGUGAUGCACACAUGGGUGAGCGGGCAUUGUUCCCAACGCAACGUGUUGGCGUGUGAGUGGUAGUAGAGACAUCUCUGCUUUUGGGCUCCGUGCUUCGCGCAUCGAACCAUAAGCACAUGUUUCCCUCAUUGGCGUCCGGCGUACUUGACUGUAUGCCGGCAAGUAAAAUGGUUCCUGUGUUGCCUACUCGGAGAAAUUGGAAAAUAUCAUUGCUAACGAGAUUCAUUGCCUUUGGUCGGCCAAAAGCUGGCCGAGGGCAACAUGUUAGUGUGGCUUGUGAAACCUACCGUGGCAUUCGCCCGCGUGUCUGGCUAGCAAGCUCGCACGUGCUUGGGGAUAUGGAAAACAUAGAUGGGUCAGGGUUUCAAACUCGGCCGAUGCAAUUGUAGCUAAUUUUGUGACCGCCGGACCGUAAUGAUAAGUCCUACUCCCUGCGUGACCAGGUGUAGUUAGGCGCGGCGCGGACAACCGGCGACAUAAAGGAAUGC